rnacentral:rRNA from 1 species
UACGGGGGGAGCAAGCGUUGUUCGGAUUUACUGGGCGUAAAGGGCGCGUAGGCGGCCACCGCAAGUCGACUGUGAAAUCUCCGGGCUUAACCCGGAAAGGUCAGCCGAUACUGCGGGGCUAGAGUGCAGAAGGGGCAACUGGAAUUCUCGGUGUAGCGGUGAAAUGCGCAGAUAUCAGGAGGAACACCGGUGGCGAAGGCGGUGGUCUGGGCCGGCACUGACGCUGAGGAGCGAAAGCGUGGGUAGCAAACAGG